rnacentral:misc_RNA from 1 species
UUUUCCCUUUUUUUUUUUUUUGCUGAUUUUCUUUGGAAAUAUUUUUCUUUGAUACAUUUAAGAUAUCAUUACUAAUGUCCCUUUGAUUAUUCUCUACUGUUGAAAAGUCUUCUCGUCAGAAUGUUAACAAUUUGGCAUUGUGUGCUUUUCAAAGCUUUGAAUUUGAUUGAUUAACUGGUUAUCCUAUAGUUUUGGAAAACUGUCUUUGCAAAAAUCGUUUGAAAAAGGGAUAUUUGGUUCUGUUUCUUCUUUUUGUGCUUCAAUCUCAAUAUUGAGCUGCACUGAGGCAUAUGAGUCAAUAUUAGACACCAUGAUGACAUUUGAAAUUUACACAUAUCAGAAAGGUCUAAUGUUUUAAAGGCGGUUCUUGGUUUGUCAAAUUUAAACUGGUUGAAUAUGGAUCUGAGUUCUUGUAUCCUACUCAAAUUUCAAUAUUUUACUUGUUUCAAUAUAUUAGCAAAUCCAUCUUCAGAGAACUUGGUGGUGGUAUCUAAAAUUCAAUGCAUAUGGGAUUGAGAAAUUAGAUCCUAAAAUUUAGAUGUUGAACGUGCAUCAUGAAAGAUACAAGCAGAUAUAAUGACCUUUCUCUUUCUUUAUGAUCUAAAUGCACUAGUUUAUUGUUUUCUGGAUAACAAAUAAUUAUGUUUUCAUUAGAACCUGAGCACUCAUAAGCAUUCUGGAUUUUAAAGCUAACUGAGGUGUAUAGGAGGAUGUAAAAAUUUUAUUAUGGACGCUCUUUCUUAUGACUUGUGAAUUAUUUUAGUUUCAUGGUUUUCUUUGAGUCUUGAUGUCUCAAAUCAAGUGAUUCCUUGCUCUUUUAGUAUUAAAAAUAUAAAUUCUUUUCUACUAUUGUUAAACCUUAUGGAAUACAAUCCUGUGAUAACACUAAUGCCAUCCAAACUUCUAGAUCAGUUUCAUAAAAUAUGAUAAGACUAUUAAGGAGGCAUCUUGAGGUCCCUAUAUGUGCACAUAAUCUCAUUGUUAUUGAAAUUGUUUACUUUCUUGACCACUGAAAAUUUUUGUAUAUGCAGCAAAUAUGCCAAGAAAAUCAUUAAAUGGCAUUUCAUGUUCCUGGUGUUUAAUUUUUUAUUUAGUUUAUUGUGAAUCAGUUUUGCCUAUUAUUCAUUGUAGCCUAUAUUAGUCUAACAUUUUAGGACUAAUGUUUCAAAGAGUAAAUGCAUCUCUUGUGGGCUGUGAGAACUUAAAAAUCUCUCUCAUGGGUUUGGAAUACAUAACAUGUCUGAUGUCUCUAGUCGUUGAUAGGACUGCUUGCUUCCUUCAAAUAUGGUGUCUACCUUUGUGUGGAUACUUUAGACUGUGUAGUUUACAUAUUAUUAUAUAUAAAAUGGGGGAUCUUAUCAUUCUCACCAGUUUGAACUUUUUAAGCUGCAGAGUACCUGUGCAAUAUGCCUGACUGCCAUGAAACCAGGACAUGGCCAUGCUAUUUUUACUGCAGAAUGCUCGCAUUCCUUCCACUUCCAUUGCAUCACCUCUAAUGUAAAACAUGGGAACCAGAGUUGCCCAGUUUGCCGAGCAAAGUGGAAAGAAGUCCCCUUCCAAAACCCUGCUUCUGAUAUUUCCCAUGGAAGACAAAGAAUCAAUGCAGUUGGUUGGCCCCAGGAUGAUGCUUGGAUGACUGUUCUAAGACAGCUACCUCCUGCUCGGCUAGAUGCAAACCGGCAUAUCUCAUCACUUUAUCAUGCCCAAGAACCACCUAUCUUUAAUGAUGAUGAAACCUUAGACCAGCAACAUGAGAUUGCUGAGAGAAACGUGUCUGUUAAAGAUGAUGUUGGUGAUCCUGAUUCUGUGGGAACGAUAGAGGUUAAAACAUAUCCAGAAGUUUUAGCUGUUUCUAGAUCAGCCUGUCAUGAUAAUUUCACUGUACUAAUACAUCUUAAGGCUCCUGUUACAAGUCGAAGGCAUAUUAAUAGCAGUGAUCAUACUGAAUUGCUACAAGUGUCUGAAAAUUCUCGUACUCCAGUUGACCUAGUUACAGUGCUUGAUGUUAGUGGCAGCAUGGCAGGAACAAAGCUUGCUUUGCUAAAACGAGCCAUGGGGUUUGUGAUACAGAAUCUUGGCCCCUCUGAUCGACUUUCUGUCAUUGCCUUCUCAUCCACAGCCCGUCGCCUUUUUCCUCUUCGUCGCAUGACUGAGGCUGGAAGGCAGGAAGCACUACAGGCUGUUAAUUCUCUGAUCUCUAAUGGUGGGACAAAUAUUGCAGAAGGCCUAAGGAAAGGUGCCAAGGUGAUUGUAGAUCGGAAGUGGAAGAAUUCAGUUGCCAGUAUCAUUCUAUUAUCUGAUGGUCAGGAUACAUAUACAGUCACCAGUCCUAGUGGGACACAUCGUAGAAAAGAUUACAAGUCACUUCUUCCAAUAUCAAUUCAUCAGAAUGGUGGCACAGGUUUCCACAUUCCUGUGCAUUCAUUUGGGUUUGGUGCUGAUCAUGAUGCUACCUCAAUGCAUUCGAUUUCUGAGAUAUCUGGGGGCACAUUUUCAUUCAUAGAAGCUGAGGGUGUUAUUCAGGAUGCUUUUGCACAGUGCAUUGGAGGGCUUUUGAGUGUGGUAGUGCAGGAGCUACAGGUCCAAGUCGAGUGUGUUCACCGGAGUUUGCAUAUUGGUUCUAUAAAAGCAGGUAGUUAUCGAACCAGCAUCAUAGGUAAUGCUAGAAUGGGCACUGUUGAUGUUGGAGACCUGUAUGCAGAAGAAGAAAGGGAUUUUUUGGUGACGAUCAAUAUUCCUGUUGAUAGGUCCAUUGAUCAGAUGUCAUUGCUGAAAGUUGAUUGUGUAUACAGAGAUCCGAUUACCAAAGAUGCGGUGACUUUGGAGGGAGCUAGUCAAGUAAAGAUACAGAGGCCUGAAAUAAUUGGAGCACAAGUGGUGUCAAUGGAAGUGGAUAGGCAGCGAAAUAGGCUUCAUGCGGCAGAGGCAAUGGCUGAAGCUAGAGUUGCUGCUGAAAAUGGUGAUCUAGCUCGUGCAGUCUGUGUCUUGGAGAGAUGUUACAAGUCAUUGUCAGAAACUGCAUCUACAGAGUCUGGUGACAGAUUGUGUGUUGCGUUGUGUGCUGAGUUAAAGGAAAUGCAGGAAAGGAUGGCAAACCGUCAGAUAUACGAGGCAUCUGGAAGGGCUUAUGUCCUAUCAGGUUUGAGUUCACACUCAUGGCAAAGAGCAACUGCACGAGGUGAUUCCACUGAUAGUACAAGCCUUUUGCAAGCUUACCAAACCCCAUCUAUGGUUGAUAUGGUAACUCGGUCUCAGACUAUGUUGUUAGGGAAUCCAUCAUCUCAUCGAAAACUCCGGCAAGCCCUGUCAUUCCCAGCUGCUAGACCGCAACCAAGGUAACUGGCAGUAGUAUCUCUGAACGUUCUCCUCACCCUACAUUCAUCUAUUUUAUAUCCAAUGACCUUUUUGUCUACUUAAAUUUUGUUUUUCUUUUAUUUAUUUUUUAAUUUUCCUCUUUUGUUGUUUGGGAAUUGUGCUAGAUUAAAAAAGGGGGAGUUGGUUUUCAAAAUUGUGGGGGUAUAUUUCCUUUUUUGGCUUAUGUAAAUGAAUAAGAAGUUGGGGGAAUAGCUGACAUGAGUUGUUUAAGAGAAAAAUGGUAAAAGGAAAAGCAGGGGGUUUAGGGUUUCACAUAGUCCAGUUAUGUGUUCAUGUACACAAGGAAAAUU